rnacentral:rRNA from 1 species
ACGCACGCUGGCGGCGUGCUUAACCCCUGCCAGUCGAACGGAAAGGCCCUGCUUGCCGGGUGCUCGAGUGGCGAACGGGUGAGUAACACGUGGGUGAUCUGCCCCUUACUUUGGGAUAAGCCUGGGAAACUGGGUCUAAUACUGGAUAGGACCAUGCUGUAGGUGGUGUGGUGGAAAGAUUAGUUUCGGUAAGGGAUGAGCUCGCGGCCUAUCAGCUUGUUGGUGGGGUAAUGGCCUACCAAGGCGUCGACGGGUAGCCGGCCUGAGAGGGUGGACGGCCACAUUGGGACUGAGAUACGGCCCAGACUCCUACGGGAGGCAGUAGUGGGGAAUAUUGCACAAUGGGCGCAAGCCUGAUGCAGCGACGCCGCGUGGGGGAUGACGGCCUUCGGGUUGUAAACUCCUUUCAGCCAUGACGAAGCCCUUGUGGUGACGGUAGUGGUAGAAGAAGCACCGGCUAACUACGUG